UACAGGCUUAACACAUGCAAGUCGAGGGGCAGCAUGGUCUUAGCUUGCUAAGGCCGAUGGCGACCGGCGCACGGGUGAGUAACACGUAUCCAACCUGCCGUCUACUCUUGGACAGCCUUCUGAAAGGAAGAUUAAUACAAGAUGGCAUCAUGAGUCCGCAUGUUCACAUGAUUAAAGGUAUUCCGGUAGACGAUGGGGAUGCGUUCCAUUAGAUAGUAGGCGGGGUAACGGCCCACCUAGUCUUCGAUGGAUAGGGGUUCUGAGAGGAAGGUCCCCCACAUUGGAACUGAGACACGGUCCAAACUCCUACGGGAGGCAGCAGUGAGGAAUAUUGGUCAAUGGGCGAGAGCCUGAACCAGCCAAGUAGCGUGAAGGAUGACUGCCCUAUGGGUUGUAAACUUCUUUUAUAAAGGAAUAAAGUCGGGUAUGGAUACCCGUUUGCAUGUACUUUAUGAAUAAGGAUCGGCUAACUCCGUGCCAGCAGCCGCGGUAAUACGGAGGAUCCGAGCGUUAUCCGGAUUUAUUGGGUUUAAAGGGAGCGUAGAUGGAUGUUUAAGUCAGUUGUGAAAGUUUGCGGCUCAACCGUAAAAUUGCAGUUGAUACUGGAUAUCUUGAGUGCAGUUGAGGCAGGCGGAAUUCGUGGUGUAGCGGUGAAAUGCUUAGAUAUCACGAAGAACUCCGAUUGCGAAGGCAGCCUGCUAAGCUGCAACUGACAUUGAGGCUCGAAAGUGUGGGUAUCAAACAGGAUUAGAUACCCUGGUAGUCCACACGGUAAACGAUGAAUACUCGCUGUUUGCGAUAUACUGCAAGCGGCCAAGCGAAAGCGUUAAGUAUUCCACCUGGGGAGUACGCCGGCAACGGUGAAACUCAAAGGAAUUGACGGGGGCCCGCACAAGCGGAGGAACAUGUGGUUUAAUUCGAUGAUACGCGAGGAACCUUACCCGGGCUUAAAUUGCAGAUGAAUUACGGUGAAAGCCGUAAGCCGCAAGGCAUCUGUGAAGGUGCUGCAUGGUUGUCGUCAGCUCGUGCCGUGAGGUGUCGGCUUAAGUGCCAUAACGAGCGCAACCCUUGUUGUCAGUUACUAACAGGUUCCGCUGAGGACUCUGACAAGACUGCCAUCGUAAGAUGUGAGGAAGGUGGGGAUGACGUCAAAUCAGCACGGCCCUUACGUCCGGGGCUACACACGUGUUACAAUGGGGGGUACAGAGGGCCGCUACCACGCGAGUGGAUGCCAAUCCCCAAAACCUCUCUCAGUUCGGACUGGAGUCUGCAACCCGACUCCACGAAGCUGGAUUCGCUAGUAAUCGCGCAUCAGCCACGGCGCGGUGAAUACGUUCCCGGGCCUUGUACACACCGCCCGUCAAGCCAUGGGAGCCGGGGGUACCUGAAGUGCGUAACCGCGAGGAGCGCCCUAGGGUAAAACUGGUGACUGGGGCU
rnacentral:rRNA from 2 species